UGUACUCAGGUGAAUAAUAUGUUUGUGAUGUUACUCUGAGUGCAUAUCCACACCGGGCGAGCUUGAAAAUGCUUGAUAUACACUCAGAGUAACAUCACAAACAUAUUAUUCACCAGAGUACA